AGAGUCCCAUCUGAAUAAAGCAUGGCCAGCAGUUCAGUAGCAAUGCCCGAGGGUAAACCCGGAGACGGGAAUCCUAAGCCGGGCAUGAGUGAGGAUGCAGGCCCUGUAUUGAGCUCCGAAAAAAGUAUUAUUGUGGUCAUUGGAUAAAUUCCCACCAAGCGUGGUGAUGAAAGCCGACGUUCUCGAUAAAACGGAAGGCAGCAGUUCUCUAUACGUUCAGGCCAGAAUAGAGGACACCACCGUAGUCUGAGACCA
rfam:Desulfobacter postgatei 2ac9 chromosome, whole genome shotgun sequence.